rnacentral:rRNA from 1 species
GAUGAACGCUGGCGGCGUGCCUAAUACAUGCAAGUCGAACGGAAAGGCCACAGCCUGCUGUGGUUCUCGAUUGGCGAACGGGUGAGUAUCACGUGGGUGAUCUCCCCUGUACUUAGUGAUAAGCCUUGGAAACUGGGUCGAAUACCGGAUAGGAAUUAUUUGAGGGCGUGUGGUAGGAAAGCUUUUGCGGUAUGGGCUCAGCUCGCGGGCGAUCAGCUUCUCGUUGGAGUAAUGGCCUACGAAGGUCUCGACGGGUAGCCGACAUGUGAAGGUAUACGGCCACCAUGGGACUAAGGUACGGACCAGACUCCAACGGGAGGCAGCGGUGGGAAAUAUUGCACAAUGAGGGCAAGCGUGAUGCAACGACGCCGCGUGGGGGAUGACGGCCUUCGGGUUAUAAACUCCUUUCGAAGGGGACGAAGCGAAAGUGACGGUACCUAAAUAAGAAGCACCGGCUAACUACGUG